rnacentral:rRNA from 1 species
AGCGAACGUUAGCGGCGGGCCUAACACAUGCAAGUCGAACGCGAAAGGUCUUCGGACUGAGUAGAGUGGCGCACGGGUGAGUAACACGUAGGUAAUCUACCCUUUGGCGGGGGAUAACGUUCCGAAAGGAGCGCUAAUACCGCAUAAGACCACGGAGUCUCCGGACGCUGUGGGAAAAGGUGGCCUCUUCUUGAAAGCUACCACCGAAGGAUGAGCCUGCGUCCCAUCAGCUAGUUGGUAAGGUAAUGGCUUACCAAGGCGAAGACGGGUAGCUGGUUUGAGAGAAUGAUCAGCCACACUGGCACUGGAACACGGGCCAGACUCCUACGGGAGGCAGCAGUGAGGAAUAUUGGGCAAUGGGCGAAAGCCUGACCCAGCCACGCCGCGUGAGUGAUGAAGGCCCUCGGGUCGUAAAGCUCUGUGGAGAGGGACGAAAACCCUGGUUUCAAAUAGGCUCCAGGCUUGACGGUACCUCUUUAGCAAGCACCGGCUAACUCUGUGCCAGCA